UACAGAGGUCUCAAGCGUUGUUCGGAUUCAUUGGGCGUAAAGGGUGCGUAGGCGGCGCGGUAAGUCGGGUGUGAAAUCUCGGAGCUUAACUCCGAAACUGCAUUCGAUACUGCCGUGCUUGAGGACUGGAGAGGAGACUGGAAUUUACGGUGUAGCGGUGAAAUGCGUAGAUAUCGUAAGGAAGGCCAGUGGCGAAGGCGGGUCUCUGGACAGUUCCUGACGCUGGGGCACGAAGGCCAGGGGAGCAAACGGG
rnacentral:rRNA from 1 species